UACGAAGGGGGCGAGCGUUGUUCGGAUUUACUGGGCGUAAAGGGCUCGUAGGCGGCCAACUAAGUCGGAUGUGAAAUCCCCAGGCUUAACUUGGGAACUGCAUCCGAUACUGGAUGGCUUGAAUCCGGGAGAGGGAUGCGGAAUUCCAGGUGUAGCGGUGAAAUGCGUAGAUAUCUGGAGGAACACCGGUGGCGAAGGCGGCAUCCUGGACCGGCAUUGACGCUGAGUGAGCGAAAGCCAGGGGAGCAAACGGG
rnacentral:rRNA from 1 species